UCUGGGCCCCACCACACUGGCCGCGCCACUCGUCAUCUUGAAGGCAAAGUGUCCAAGAGGACAUGACUUGGACAGCCCACACUUGUACCUGACUGGCUUUGCUGCUGUGAAGAGAGAAAACUCCAUUUACACAACAAGAACCAGGUAGCACAAUAUCAGGUGGCGCUCCAGUGAUUUGGAGAACAGGAUGCCGCGGUCAUCUGAUGUGUACAUGGUUCCAAAGAAGGUGUCUGUAUUGAAACAGAAGAAAGAGAAGAAGAGAAAGGCACCGAUGUAGCCAAAACUGUAGAUGUCCUCGUGGAUUGUUGUGAAGGUCUGCCCCAGAUCCUUUGUCCUCUUCAGCACUAAAUCCCCCCUCUCAUCUGCAUAAACUGUGGUGACAAAAAGCAAGACUUGGUGACAGGAAUACUCAGGACUCUAAUUUAUUGGUUUUCCCUUUGCUUUAAUUCAAUUUUCAGUUUUCAAUUUUAGCUUAAAAACUAAAAAAAUUUUAAAAUCUUGAUUGUAAGAUGGAGUGUGGAUGGAAAGCAAAAUCCAUGUUAGUCAAUCCAGACCAUCCUCUUGUUUGAGAUGAAAUUUUCAUUUAUUCCAAGUAAAAUGAAUUUGCUUUAUUCAAAUAUACCAUAAAAUGUUGUAAUAAUAUUUUAUUCUUAUUCUUAUCUUUUGUCAUUUUUUGUCAAAUUGCCUUUUUUUAUUGUAUUUAAUAUCGUGUGAUACAGCAAUCACACUGUUACUGUCAGAGGACAGGAGCUUGAUAUUGUUAAUGAAUUCAAGUAUCUUGGGGUCAUGUAUGACUCCACCCUAACGUUCAAAAGUCAUGUGAAAAGGGUGGUAAAUAAAGUUAAAUUUAACUUGCAGAAUUUUAAACAAGUUAGGGCAUUUCUUGAUAACAAUUCUGCCAAGUUGUUUCUUUAUACUAUGAUCCUUUCACAUAUUGAAUAUUGUUUUAUUAACUGGUCACUAACUAGUGUAACUACUCUUAAAAGUAUUGAAUCUCUAUUUAAGAAAGCCAUAAAAACUUACGAUAAAAAGGCAUUGUCAUUUCACCAUUGCGAUAUCUUACAGAGACAUACAUUUUUUAGUUUUGAAAAUUUUAAACAUUUUAGGUAUGCGUGUUUGAUAUAUAAAGUGUUACAUGAUCUUGCCCCCCCCUCCGCUGCGUGACUUCAUUCGGAGACUUG